AGCUGCGGCUCUCCACAGUGGAGCCUAAAAUCACUGGGUGAAAAGCUAAUGGAGAAUAUUCCCAAAGUGUGGAGCUUGAUAACUCUAAAUGGACAGGAGUGCUAUAACAAAGAUCUGGUGGUCUCCUUCUAGAAAUGUAAUCAAACUGCAUCGGAAUAUAUGACCAGCUGAUGUUAGAUACAAACUAUAAAAUUAACAUGCAUGCUAGACAUGGGAAGAUACAUGAUAAAGAAACUAAAUGAGGAGAGACUCCUAAGGCUUACUUUUCACUGAAACUUGACAAACUGUGUCUGGGAAGAAAAUGCUCUGUAAUCACAGGAUUUACAAGAUUUACAAUAUAGCAAUAUAGGAUGACACAUGGCUGAUUUCAAUUUGGAAAUUCAAGGAACUGUUAUGGAGGCACCUAAUAAAAGCAAUAGGAAAAGGGGCCAAUGGACUCUUGGGAUCACAUAUACACACGCUGAAAAACAAUCCAGUUCCCAUGUCGGGAGCAUCUUCAAAUGUGUGACCAAUGGUAAAGUGUGCAGAAAUCAUUCAGCUGUCUUACAGGCAAGAAUGAGAGUGGGGCAACUAGCUUUGUUCUGUAAAUCAUAACUAAGCAAAAGAAGAAAUUC